rnacentral:rRNA from 1 species
GGACUGAGACACGGCCCAGACUCCUACGGGAGGCAGNNNNNNNGAAUUUUGGACAAUGGGGGCAACCCUGAUCCAGCAAUGCCGCGUGCAGGACGAAGGCCNUCGGGUUGUAAACUGCUUUUGUNCNGAACGAAAAGGACNNCUCUAAUACAGAGGUUUCAUGACGGUACNGCAAGAAUAAGCACCGGCUAACUACGUGCCAGCAGCCGCGGUAAUACGUAGGGUGCGAGCGUUAAUCGGAAUUACUGGGCGUAAAGCGUGCGCAGGCGGCNNNGUAAGACAGAGGUGAAAUCCCCGGGCUCAACCUGGGAACUGCCUUUGUGACUGCGCGGCUGGAGUGCGGCAGAGGGGGGUGGAAUUUCGCGUGUAGCAGUGAAAUGCGUAGAUAUGCGAAGGAACACCGAUGGCGAAGGCAGCCCCCUGGGCCUGCACUGACGCUCAUGCACGAAAGCGUGGGGAGCAAACAGGAUUAGAUACCCUGGUAGUCCACGCCCUAAACGAUGUCAACUGGUUGUUGGGGAUUU